rnacentral:lncRNA from 1 species
CCAGUUCUUUUAUGGGUUGCCUGGGAGUGUGGGCUGCUAGGGAUCCUGGCAGCUAGGUCCCUUCCCAGCAGAGUUCAACCAUCGUCAAUCUUAAUAAGGGUAGAAAAGUAUAGAUAAAAAAGAAUGAAGCUUUUAUGCAACAACCAGGGACACCACUUUGGUCAGCAUCAUGCCUGUCCAUGACAAGGUAGGAUAAAGCUGGAAGGGAUUUCUUAGUCUGGGUCAGAGACAGAACUGGG